CAUCACCUAGUGGACAAAAGCAGGAAGACACGCUAAAUGACUUCAGUGUACCUGUUGCCACUUGAAUCGUGAUUGUGUCACCUGCUGGAGUAAACUUGGCAAACAUUUGUGCAUGGCUGAAUGUGCGCGUGUGUCUCACCAGUGAUGAAAGCAGGACAGCCAGCGCUGGACUUUUCUCCAACCACCCACAGCUUGCUGGCCUGAAAGACACGGUAAAAAAAAUCCAGGCCUGUGGACAGAAAAGAGAUAAGCAUUAACUUUUGUAUCCACUUUGAAACGUUCAGGCUCAAUUUGAAGACUCUCACCUGCAGACAAAAGACAAUUAAAACGCAUGUGCAUUAUUAUGCAUUUCUUUCAUUGUUUGAACGUGAAUUGUUUUGUCUACUUACCUUGAGCUAACAGCACCGGCGUCCAGAUGACAAAUAAGUGCUUUUUGGUGCAAUUUAUGGCGUCCAUUGCCUUCCAAAAUUUAGCUUGCAUCUUAGCACGCUGUGAGCAAGCCAAAAAGAGAAACUGCACGUUAAAAGUGAGCAAAAGCAGUUAGGUCUUAAAAGCAAGCAAGAAAGUCAUUUGUACUUACCUUGAUUCCAAGAAAGAGAAUACUCACAUAAUCGAAGUUUUAGAUGAGCUGGUGGAAAUGCGUGCAGAGCUGCAGGUGGCGGAGGACUCCGUCAGAGGCGGCGUGCAAGACUGACUGCUUCGUUUGCCCGACUUUUAUAGUGUUCCGGCGAUGACGUCAUUGAAGAAAAAAAAAUGGAAGUAGAUAAAAAAACUUGUGAUGAUGUUCCAACUUCAAGAGAGAGCACGGACUACCACGAUCUACGCGAUAGAAUACAAGGAGAGAGUUUGUCAACUUUGGUACACUUUAUUUGUGAUAAAACAAAUACAUCCAUGGACACAAGCAAAAAUGUUUAUUUCAAUGAUUUCUUCUUUUAGUAAUAAAGAUGAUUUGUUGACAAGGAGAA